rnacentral:piRNA from 1 species
GUCCUCAGAGUAGCACAUGGCAAUGAAAC